rnacentral:rRNA from 1 species
GACGAACGCUGGCGGCGUGCUUAACACAUGCAAGUCGAACGGGAGUAUUGAAGAAGCUUGCUUUAGAGAUACUUUAGUGGCGGACGGGUGAGUAACGCGUAUGCAACCUACCCUGUACAGGGGGAUAACCCGGAGAAAUUCGGACUAAUAUCCCGUAAUAAUAUCCGGAGGCAUCUUUGGAUAUUUAAAGUUCCGACGGUACGGGAUGGGCAUGCGUAACAUUAGCUGGUUGGUAAGGUAACGGCUUACCAAGGCUAUGAUGUUUAGGGGUCCUGAGAGGGUGGUCCCCCACACUGGUACUGAGACACGGACCAGACUCCUACGGGAGGCAGCAGUGAGGAAUAUUGGUCAAUGGGCGCAAGCCUGAACCAGCCAUCCCGCGUGCAGGAAGACGGCCCUAUGGGUUGUAAACUGCUUUUCCAGGGAGAGAAACUUACGCACGUGUUGCGUGACUGACGGUACCCUGGGAAUAAGCAUCGGCUAACUCCGUGCCAGCAGCCGCGGUAAAACGUCUA